UACGAAGGGGGCUAGCGUUGCUCGGAAUUACUGGGCGUAAAGGGCGCGUAGGCGGCACUGUUAGUCAGGCGUGAAAGUCCUGGGCUCAACCUGGGGGCUGCAUUUGAUACGUAUGGGCUUGAGUGGGGAAGAGGGUCGUGGAAUUCCCAGUGUAGAGGUGAAAUUCGUAGAUAUUGGGAAGAACACCGGUGGCGAAGGCGGCGACCUGGUCCUUGACUGACGCUGAGGCGCGAAAGCGUGGGGAGCAAACAGG
rnacentral:rRNA from 1 species